AUACGUAGGUGGCAAGCGUUGUCCGGAAUUAUUGGGCGUAAAGCGCAUGUAGGCGGUGCCUUAAGUCUGUCGUGAAACUGCGGGGCCUAACCCCGUAUGGCGAUGGAAACUGUGGCACUUGAGUGCAGGAGAGGAAAGGGGAACUCCCAGUGUAGCGGGGAAAUGCGUAGAUAUUGGGAAGAACACCGGUGGCGAAGGCGCCUUUCUGGACUGUGUCUGACGCUGAGAUGCGAAAGCCAGGGUAGCGAACGGGAUUAGAUACCCCGGUAGUCCUGGCCGUAAACGAUGGGUACUAGGUGUGGGAGGUAUCGACCCCUUCCGUGCCGGAGUUAACGCAAUAAGUACCCCGCCUGGGGAGUACGGCCGCAAGGCUUAAACUCAAAUGAAUUGACGGGG
rnacentral:rRNA from 1 species